ensembl:lncRNA
AUGUCGAUGAGUGGCUGCAGAUUUGCUUCUGUAGAAAAGUCAGUGCUGCUAAGUUUGCUUUCCCAGUUGCAUCAGUCUGCAUCAGCGUUUCUGCUCGCUUUGGCUUUCCUUGCUAUUGUAGUAAGCCUUUACUCAUCGCUGUUCUUCCAGCAAACAGCAUGCAAGGGCCCAGUCGGGGGUCAGAGCUCGGUCAGGCUAGACCAGCAGCGAGCAAGCGGACAGGCUGUCCCGAGAGCUCGCCAUUGCCGUAGCCCCGGGGAAGCGCCGAGCCGCAGAGCUGUCCCCAGCGAGGUCCCCCCGCUGCAAGGGGCUACCCGAAAGGCGUAUCAGAGCCGACAGCGAGGCGCUCCUGGGACGGAGGAGGAGCAGGGGGGAAACACCAGCUGUAACAAAGUCUGUUGAGAAACCUCUCUUCAGGUGCCUGUGCGUAUGGAUUUUUAUUUUUUCCCCCAAAAAAACAGAGGAGAAAUUAUAAAGGAAAGGAAGGGUUCUGCACUACUUACUAAUGAAGUGCAUCAAUUAAUCAUUUCCAAUAUAAUUUACUAUUGAACUGUACAGUAAAUGCGUGUUUGCUAAAGCAGGCAAAUCACUCUGCAAUUCACGGCGAUGUGGAGCUGAAAACGUGCCCAGCAGCCAGGACCCGGCUCUGCCAAGAGCCUGCUGCGGUCCUCGCUCUGGGGAAGGGCCGGCGGCGGGAGGGCAGCUAGCGAGGCGUGCUGGCUCCUGGUUAGCACCAGGUGCUUUAAUUAAGAGGCAGGUUUUCAAUUUCAUGGAGGAAGUGAACAUUUUCAAUCAGCACUUUAAAGCAAUGUGAGCAAUUACCGUCGUAUUUGCUUGAAUGUCGAGGCCGACGUGCUCUGCCGUUUUCAGCUGCCGGCGCUCCGUGGCGAGGCAUCGCGCUGGCAGAUGCUGUUUGGCUGCUGUGUCUUGUUUACAUGAUAUAACUAGCUUAAAUUUUGUAUCAUCGCAAGUAUGUAUUCAUUAGUCUAAACGAAUGUUUUUCCGUCCGCUCGUGUGCCAAGAGGCACUUUUGGGGACGGGAGCAGCCCCCGGGCUGAGGUCCUGACUCCUCGCUGGGGCUCGGCAGCGCCUUCGCCCCGGCGGCACCGGCUCCGCUCCGCGGCGGCAGCACGACUGCCCGCAGGCGCACGCACCGCCGUGGGUGCCACGCGCUCAGCAUGACACCCAACCGACCUGCCACAGAAUUACACCAUUUUUAGCAAAACCCAGAGACCAAGUUCCCCAGAGUUAAGCCAACCGGGACGCUGCGAGGUGCUGAGGCCCCCCGUCCUCACGGGGAGGGCCCGGGUUCCCGCAGCACCCAGGGCUGAAACGCAAGGUGACGUGGGGUGCAAAGCUGUCCCUUGCUGCUGCAUCUGAUGGGAAAUACCCCAAUGGAGCGGUUUUGGACUGACCUGCAGUCUGCCAAAAUUGUGCCUGCUUCCCUGAGUCUUCAUGUGGAGGAAAAAAGGGAAGAACGUUCUGACGCUCCUAGAGUCCUAAAUCAAUCUUUUCUGCAUAGUGCAUAUUUUCUUUCCAUUUCAGAAUUAAACUCUUCGAGCACCUACGUUAGAAGAUAAAAAGCAAAAAUUAGAAUCUGAAACCAAAUACUUAAACUGUCCCAAGGUACUUUUUCAUAUUUUUUCUUAAUCUAUUUUCAAAAAUUWAAGUUUCUUUCCUAAUCAGGAAAAAGUUACAAAAAUUGCCCACAGCUUUUCAGAUGCAGGAUUUGUGUUAGAAGGAUCGCAAUAGAAAGGCAAGUCGCAUGCACAGAAGCUUCAUUUGACCUCCUUAAUUUAAGCAAACGCAGCAUCUCUCUGAGGCGCAUCCCACUCGUAGUGAAGCCGUGCGAUAGCGCAAGGCGAGAGAGUCCUCCAGGGUAGGACAGGAGCAGGACACGGGGACGAGACGUGACGCCGUCACCACAUGUCCGGCCCGGGGGGAUGGUGCAGCCGKGCUGCAACUUUACCGAGGGGCGAAGAGGUGCCGAGCGCUCAGUAUGGAGCACAGAAAUGAUUGCGAAUAUCCAGAAACGGGAAUACAGAAAAAUUAUUGACAACGGACCAUAUUAUAUCAUUGAUUUUUAAGCAAAACUCCCCAUUGAUUUUUCAGAACCGCAUUGAACAUUUCAGAAUCAUUGAUUUUAAUGGGGAGUUCUGCUCCAAAAUCAAUGGUGCAAUACAGCCCAAAGUAAAUUGCUUCUGAGUAUCAAUAUUUUUUGCCCGAGUUGUUGCAAUGUGGAAAAUGGUCUUUAAAAUGUGCAUCUUCUGUUUCUGCCUGCUUUCUUAGAGGCUCUUUGAAUUCUGCUUUUGUUGAGAGGCUAAAGGGAACGGGCUGGUCGUGGCAAUGGCGAUGCCCAGCAGCCGUUGCAGGUGCCUCCRGCCUCCUAGGAAGGCAAAGACCCUCCUAAUUCCUCCAGGUCAGGAUGGGGAUUUUUCCGUGAAUCCCCGUUUUCACACCAUUUUGCAUGCCGAACCGCGUACCAGGGGCCUCAUCCUAAGCUCCUCGGGAUGCAAGUGCCUUUGGCGCUGCUGGGGGCAGGUGUCGUCGCCUCCUUCGUAGGUGCCGGCAGGGAAAAGCCGGCACUGCGGGGUGCCUGGGCUCCCUGCGCCGUCGGGGCAGGGAAAUCCGACCCCGUAUCCGUGGGCACCUCCGUGGGCCCGGCUCCGCACAGGGCGGCCCAGCCGGCACCUGCGCCCUGCGUUGCAGAGCUCCGAGGCUUGGCGACAUUCGUCCCCUGCGCCCGCUGCUCCCCCACUAGAUGUUUUGUCUCACGGGUCUGAGCUUAAUGUCCUCCCCAGGCAGUGUCUGACCUGUGGCACACGUAAUUCUGAUUUUUAUAGAAAAAGAGCUCUCCCUUUCAGMGAGGACAUAGUCCGGGCUCAGGCGUGGCGGGGAGCCCUAGAAGGAGCCAGCGGUUYUGCUUGGCGUCCCUUAAAUCAGAGAUGACAGUCAAUGAAGGUCUAGAUUUUGCCGCUUGCAGUGAGCUGCUGCUGCUUUAUUUCGAGAGUCGGGUUAGAUGUUGGUUGUGUUUCAUGGAGAGGUGAAGACCCAAAGGGUUUGGAAGAGAAAAGGAAGGCGGAAUAGAGGUCCUCCAUUAAAUAYGUGCGUGUGCUCCUGUCUGGUGAAUGUGGCUCCUGCUGCGGGAAGGUGCCAGAUGCAGCCCGCGACAUCCAGGACAGAAAUCGCGUCUGCGUUUGUUAUCGUCUUGGCUAGACUCUUCCUUUUUGUUUGCUCCAAAAUCUUUCUGUCUCUGAGCAUCUAAAUGAAUUCUUGAUGGUUCAGGGAAAAUACUCACUAUUAUUACUGAAUGUCUAGACAAACAAAUAUAGCUAAAUGAAAGUAUGCGUAAUGCAGUGUAAUCAAUAUGUGUAAGUACAAAACAUUUUAGUUUACAAAAUCCGAAGGAGCCCCGGGUGCACGCGGGGAGCUGCAUGUACGGCCGCUGGCCCAGCAGCAGCCGGCCGCUCUCCGCGGGGAUCGGUGCCACCGGGACUCGCGCGUGGGCUCCCGAGGAGCAGGACAGCACGGUACAGCAGCUGGGUGCAUCCAGAUGUUGCUUUUUGUGUUGGGGAUUGGGCCGUAGAGCAGAGAAACAUAAAGUAAAACAUGUACWUAUCAAUGGAAAUAGUGUGUUACUUCUUCUUCUUUUAUACACCUUUGUUUUGUAUUUUUGUUGCUUGCAUCUUUUCAGCGCACGGUAGCAGGAUGYGUAAAGAAGUCAUUUUGGCUGCCUGGUUUAACUGUUGAGCAUACCAAAAAGCAAGUGUUGUGAAAUCUAACAGACUGUGAAUGGAGGUUGCAAAAGCGAAUCUUUCAGAAAGCAGGUUUUCUGUAGAUGAAUGUGUCUUUAUUCUAAUGACUAUACAGUUCAAUGCCUGAUGGAGUUGUUUUCAAUAAAAAAUAAUAAAUAUUUGAAAAAAUAAAAAAA